rnacentral:rRNA from 1 species
UACGUAGGUCCCGAGCGUUGUCCGGAUUUAUUGGGCGUAAAGCGAGCGCAGGCGGUUUCGUAAGUCUGAAGUAAAAGGCUGUGGCUUAACCAUAGUACGCUUUGGAAACUGCGGAACUUGAGUGCAGAAGGGGAGAGUGGAAUUCCAUGUGUAGCGGUGAAAUGCGUAGAUAUAUGGAGGAACACCGGUGGCGAAAGCGGCUCUCUGGUCUGUAACUGACGCUGAGGCUCGAAAGCGUGGGUAGCGAACAGG